GGCUGUGUCCAUAAAGGGAGUUGGCAAGGCGGGGCACUGCCCAUAAAAAGAGCUUGUGGGGCGGGGAGAUGCCCAUAUAGGGAUCCUGUGGGGCGGGGCGAUGCCCAUGUAGGGUUUUGUAGGGCGGGUUAUGUCCAUAAAAGGAUCCUGUGGGGCGGGGCGGUGCCCAUGUAGGGUUGUGUAGGGCGGGUUAUGUCCA